AUGUUAGCGGCGGACGGGUGAGUAACACGUGGGUAACCUGCCUGUAAGACUGGGAUAACUCCGGGAAACCGGGGCUAAUACCGGAUGGUUGUUUGAACCGCAUGGUUCAGACAUAAAAGGUGGCUUCGGCUACCACUUACAGAUGGACCCGCGGCGCAUUAGCUAGUUGGUGAGGUAACGGCUCACCAAGGCGACGAUGCGUAGCCGACCUGAGAGGGUGAUCGGCCACACUGGGACUGAGACACGGCCCAGACUCCUACGGGAGGCAGCAGUAGGGAAUCUUCCGCAAUGGACGAAAGUCUGACGGAGCAACGCCGCGUGAGUGAUGAAGGUUUUCGGAUCGUAAAGCUCUGUUGUUAGGGAAGAACAAGUGCCGUUCAAAUAGGGCGGCACCUUGACGGUACCUAACCAGAAAGCCACGGCUAACUACGUGCCAGCAGCCGCGGUAAUACGUAGGUGGCAAGCGUUGUCCGGAAUUAUUGGGCGUAAAGGGCUCGCAGGCGGUUUCUUAAGUCUGAUGUGAAAGCCCCCGGCUCAACCGGGGAGGGUCAUUGGAAACUGGGGAACUUGAGUGCAGAAGAGGAGAGUGGAAUUCCACGUGUAGCGGUGAAAUGCGUAGAGAUGUGGAGGAACACCAGUGGCGAAAGGCGACUCUCUGGUCUGUAACUGACGC
rnacentral:rRNA from 1 species